GAAGAAGGAGGAGGCAGCGUUAGCGUCGUGGGGGACCCCCGGAGCCCCUCAUGCGGAGGAGCCCAGGCCGAGGGGGCAGCCCCGGCCGCUGAAGGCUGGAGGGAUGUGCCCCGAGGAGGACGGGGGGCUCGGCAGCGGAGGAGGAGGAGGAGGAACAACGCAGGCUCCUUCCAGCGGGACCUUUAUCUCGGCGGCGGCGGAGACACAGACCCCGGUGGCCACGACGACGACGACGCCGCCGAGCCCCUUGAGGGAGCUCCGCUCUUGGUGGGAAGUGCCGGCCAUCGCCCACUUCUGCUCCCUCUUCAGGACCGCCUUCAGACUCCCGGACUUCGAGAUCGAGGAACUUGAAGCAGCUCUUUACAGUGAUGACGUGGAGUUCAUCAGUGAUCUCAUUGCCUGCCUUCUUCAGGGUUGCUAUCAGCGCAGUGACAUUACAUCUCAGACAUUUCAUGGCUACCUUGAAGAUAUCAUCAACUAUCGUUGGGAACUGGAAGAAGGCAAACCAAAUCCUUUACGGGAAACUACUUUCCAAGAGCUGCCUUUGCGCACCCGUGUGGAGAUACUGCAUCGCCUUUGUGAUUACCGGCUUGAUGCUGAUGAUGUCUUUGACCUACUCAAGGGUUUGGAUGCAGAUAGUCUCCGGGUGGAACCACUGGGUGAGGAUAGCAAUGGUGCCCUCUACUGGUAUUUUUAUGGCACUCGAAUGUACAAAGAGGAACCAGUGAGAUCAAAUGGAGAUCUGUCUUCAGACAGGGGAUGUGAGGCACAAACCGGGACUCCAAUUGUUCCAGGAAAAAUAGUGAAAAGACGAGGGCGACCUCCAAAACGGAAGAAAUUGCUGGAGGAGAAUCUCCUAAGGGAGAAAGCAGAAGAAAAUUUACUUAUGCAUGAGUCACAGCUGAGAAAUGGUUCUCAAGGACCAGGUCAUGGAACGUGGUGGCUUUUGUGUCAGACAGAAGAGGAGUGGAGGCAGGUCACAGAGAGCUUCCGAGAAAGAACAUCUUUAAGAGAGAGACAACUCUACAAACUUCUGAGUGAAGACUUUCUUCCAGAGAUCUGCAACAUGAUUGCACAAAAGGAGAAGCGUCUGCAGCGAAUGGAAUAUUCUCCCAGAUGGAUGUCUGAUCAUCAGCAUGUUAGACCAGUUCGACAAGAGGUAACUCCAAUUAUGCUUAGCAGAACAGAGAAGCAGAGGCGGAAAGAAGAGGAAGAAGAGCGUCAAAUCCUUCUGGCAGUUCAGAAGAGGGAGCAGGAACAAAUGUUAAAAGAAGAGAGGAAACGAGAAAUGGAAGAGAAAGUGAAAGCAGUAGAAGAACGAGCAAAAAGAAGGAAGCUCAGAGAAGAGCGGGCAUGGUUGCUGGCCCAGGGAAAAGAGCUUCCCCCUGAACUUUCUCACUUGGAUCCUAGCUCACCUGCUAGGGAGGAGAGGAAGACCAAAGACCUCUUUGAAUUGGAUGAUGAGUUCACUGCCAUGUACAAAGUUCUGGAUGUGGUGAAAGCCCACAAGGAUUCCUGGCCAUUCCUGGAGCCUGUUGAUGAAUCUUAUGCCCCAAAUUAUUACCAGAUCAUUAAGGCUCCUAUGGAUAUCUCUAGUAUGGAAAAGAAGCUAAAUGGAAAUCAGUACUACACUAAGGAAGAAUUUAUGGGUGACAUGAAGACCAUGUUCAGGAACUGCCUUAAAUACAAUGGUGAAAACAGUGAAUACACUAAAAUGGCUUACAACUUAGAAAGAUGUUUCCACCGUGCAGUGAUGAAGCACUUCCCUGGAGAAGAUGGGGACACAGAUGAUGAGUUCUGGAUCAGAGAAGAUGGAAAGCGUGAAAAAAGAAGCCGUCGGACUAUACGUUCUAGUACAGGAAAUGUUUGGACCCGAUCAAAGGACUCUGAAGGAUCUGGCAAGAAACAACUGCAUAUGCAAAAUGGAGGAAAACUUCCACCUCACAAGGCAAAACACAGAGUAUCUUCCACUUCUUCCUCUUCUCCCUUCCUCUUCUCUGCAGAGGAUCCAAGUAGCAGCUCAAGUCAGCCCUCUGGAGAGGUAGCCUCUUCCAAUGGCCGAGAAUACUUGCACUCACACCACUAUGGUGGAAUGCCCAGUCGUGUAUCCCAUCCUGGUCAGGUGAGGCCAGCAGUGCCAGGAACAUUUAGCUCUCUGCAUGGACCCAAUCCAACAAAACCAUAUGGGUCACCUCGAGUACCAGAACCACAUCCUGGUGAGCCAAGUCAUCAGCACCAGCACUUUGCCAUGCAGCCUACAGUUGGAUUGAAUGAUCCCAGAGGACAUCGGCUUCCUGUUCCAGAGAAGCAAGUAUGUGCUGGACCAGUGCAUGUCUCCAGAAUAGGACCACAGCCUGGAUCCCUGCAGUUUGGUCGAAUGAGUGGCCCUCCCUCACAGGCCAGUAUGUACUCAUCUGCCCAGUUCCAGCAAGGAUUUCUUUCUCCAAGGCUCAACGGGCCCCCUAUGAGACAACCAGAGACCUCAGAACUUCACUCUGGCCAUAUGUAUAGGCCUUAUAAAUACCUUAACCACACACAUCCUGCUGUGUGGAAUGGAAGUCAUGAUGCAGCAAAUCAGAUGACCCUAGGCAUAGACAAGAAGCCUCCAAUGGGUCCAUGCCCCCCUAUGCCACCUCAUGCUUUGAGCCACAUGAUGGAACCUCGGACAUUGAGACCUCCUUUGCCAUCCAGUCAAUGGACUGAGCAGUCCAAUUUCCUACCUCAUGGAGCUCCACCCUCAGGGUAUAUUCGACAACCAGGAAAAGGCCCUGGUCAGCGAAUGCAACAGCAACUGCCAGCCUCCUUAUUUGGGCCUGCGCCUCAAAUGCAGAGAGGAGUUCAGGGUGGGGAUUCCAUGAUGGACAGUCCAGAAAUGAUUGCCAUGCAACAGCUAUCUUCUCGGGUAUGCCCACCUGGUGUGCCUUAUCACCCACGUCAGCCUCCUCCCCCACACUUACCUGGACCAUUUCCACAACUGGCCCAUGUGGCAACUACAAACAUUCAGGCUCCAAAACCAGUUCUAGGGAAUGGGAAUUCUCAGGAUGCCACUCAGACAGCAGAACCAGAAAACAACAGAGUGGAUCCUCCACCAGGAGUGGAAAAGAAAACCCAAUGUGUUGGUCUUUCUGAAGGAAUAUAUCCCAAGCUGUUACCUCAUUCCAAGCCACCUUUGCAGAUGGAUUGCUCUGGGCAGAACUUGACACAGGAAGGGGAGGGAGAUGAUUCUGAAACUAAAAAUGAUCCAAAAGCAACACAAAGCAAGAGCACGUGGCCAUCAGAAAGUAACUAUACAAGUCCAGUAGCCCAAGGGUGUGCAAGAGACAUAACAGCAACAGAGAGAGGACCUGUGCCUGAAAAUGGUGCUGUAGGUCAAGGACCAUCCAGUGGUACAGAAGGAAAAGCAGUAGCCACUAAUAUAAUAGAAAAGUCCCAUUGCUCUAUGGGGAAAAAUCUUUUGGAAACAGCUGUGCCUUGCAUGGGACAGAGCACCAGUGCUUCUGCUAGCAUGGAUGGCAGUCCGGUGGGAGGCACCUCUGGUCAGUUUGCCCAACUCUACAUGCCCAACUUAGAGUAUUCAAAUUCAGCCACACGCUACCACAUCAAUCCAGGAUUGCAGGGGUUCAGUCCUAUCAUGGGAGGGAAGCCCACUCCAGUGUCCCACUCACAGCAUUUUUCUGCUCGAGGCCUUCAGCCCAAUAACAGCACUCAUGGUGUUUUCCCUCGUUAUCGUCCCCACCAGGGAGUGCCAUACCCUUACCAGGCACAAAUUCCUCCUUCUUAUCACCACUAUCAACAGCCUCCUUACUAUACUUGUCCCCAGGGUUAUUCAGACUGGCAGAGGCCAUUUCCAACCCAGUCCAGUCCCACUGGACAUCCACAUGCCCAAUCACCUCUGGUCAGGCCUCCUUUCUCAGACAGAGGGACCAUGGGCAUGCAGGGUUGUGAAGUACUUAAUGCAGCUUUGGCUUCCCCAAACCGAAUGGAUAUGGCAGCCACCAAAGAAGUUCCAAGCAGUGGGCAAGAGCUGCCACCAGAGGCUGAGAAACCAGUGGAGUCUCAAGAAAGACCUGAGAGUCCCAAAGAAUUCCUUGAUUUGGACAACCAUAAUGCAGCCAACAAGAGGCAGAGAUCAGCUGCAGCAGGGGAGUACUUGUAUGGUUCUCCCCCACCACCUAUAAGUUCUUCAGGGCUUGGAUUUGGCCCAUCUGCUUUCCCACGCCAUGGUGUCAUGCAACAGACAGGGCCACCUUAUGCAUCACGACAGCCAGCCAGCCACUUCCAACCCAGGGCUUAUGGACCAUCAGUGAAUACACACUUGUCAUCUCAUGCAGCCACGAGUCAAGCCAAUGGUCUUGCUCAUGAAGGAUCUUUGUAUCGUUGCCAAGAAGAUAAUGUGGGCCACUUCCAGGCCUUAAUGAUGGAACAGGCAGGACGUGGAGGAGGCAUGGGGGGAUUGUCUGGAGAUCUGUAUAGAACACCAGGAAUGCAUAUGCACCAGCCACAAGCCCCAUUCCCAAAGAUGCCUGCAGCAACACCAGCUCGGGAAGAGCUUCCACCACAAAAAACACCAGCAUUGCCCCUAGAUCAGAGCUAGUCCAAGGCAGGAAAUACUUGAUGAAGAUGAGAGCUACAUGUGACAGGAUAAGGGCAAAGGAAAACAUUCUUUCUGCCUUCAUCUUUCCCAGCAGCAUUUGGCUUCCAAGGUCUGGUGGAAUACAGUACCUCCUCGGUGGUUUUCUGUUAUAAUGGAAUUUCCCUCGGUCUGAGCCACCUUUACAACUGUUGCAAUGACACAGAAGGAGCAUCUCAGUUUUAGUGACUUGUUUCUGACCAGAGACUUCAUUGAACAUUUAAAGGACUCUAUUUGAGGGAAAUGAAACUUUCAUGAACUGCUAAAACUCAGGUAUAUUGUUCAGGGUGAAAAACAGGAGAGUAUAGAAAGUACUUGUAUUAAUAUGUGUGUUUGGAAAGGAAUCCAGUUUACAGAUUUUUUUUAACCUAUUGCCUUUAAAAAAUCUUUCUGUUGGUGAAUGUAUUGUAUGUUAUUAGGAUGGAAGUGGUUGGCCCAAAAUGUUCUGGGCAUAGCACUGGGAUGAUCAUAAACUGUUUACAAUCGUGUCACAUUGAAAUCUUUCAGGGGAGGGUGGAUGCAGGAGAUAGUGGAACUACUUCUGAUUUAUCCUUUUGUUGGCACCACCUAUCAGUAGUUUGGGACUGAAGCACUGCCUGAUAACUGGUGACAGGAAUUACUCAGGAGAAAUCAGUGUUCCCCUCUCCUGGCCAUGGAUUAUAUGCACUGCCAGUUCCUCUCACUAUAGGAACAAGAAAAUCAGGAUCAAGAAUUUCCAGAGAACUGGAAAUUCUGUGUAAGAUUGUAGCAUCUUUUUCUAAAUAACUUCUGAUUGGGAAUAAUCACUGUGUCAGUAAGCAUUAAAACCAUAAUUCAUAAGACACUGGGAUAGGAGGUGCUAGGAUACAGUGAAUCCUCCAGAUGCUUCUUUAGCACAACUACUGUAACAUUCAUAUAAAGCAGAGAUCUAUAAUGAGCUGUUUAGUCUCAGUGUAAUUUGGCUCAUGAUCCUAUGAGAACAAUGCAGAGAUUGAAAUCCUUCCCCUUCAUUUCAGCUGCUUGAUGCUGAAGAAUGGAGAGAUGGUUUAUUUUUAGAAAAGGAACAACCUUUUAUCCUGUAUGCAAGCACUGAAGCAUGUAAGCCAAGUAAGCAGGGAAUCCAAGCCCAAACCUUUACUCUAUUACAAAUACAGUAUGUUGGAGACUUCAGAAACAAACAUUGUGUCCAAAUGAAAAACUUGCCAAAUAGAGUGAACUAUCAGAUGACGUUCCUGAGCUUUCAAGAAAAGGGAAUAUUGCACGUAAUACUGAUGUGUUGGCAGACUUAUAUGAAAAUAUCAGAACUGGGGACAAGGGGAUAUACUGUAACAGAUCUAUAUAAAAGUACAUAAUGCAUUAUUCUGUAGAAUCUGUGACACUGCUGUCACUUGCCAGUUCUAGCAUACAGGAGCUUAAUAGGUAUGAAAACAGUCUAAAAAUGAUCAUGAAAAGAAGAAACAAGGCUUUCAUUGCCAUCUAGAGUGACAUAAUAUGGUGCUCUGAUUUGAUUUGAGUAAAUCCAUGGUCCAGGCCUCAAUGCAAAUUCACAAAGAGCACGUAUGUUUUCUUCAUGAACUAAUUCAUAUAGGUGAUGGAUAUUAUAGACCUGAUCACUUUGGCUUAUGCCUGAACUGAGAUUUAAAACAAGCCUUAAAAUAAGUGUUUCUUGACUUUUUCCUGCUCUUUCCUUGCCUUUCCCUUUUUCUCUUCUCCAACAGUGUAUAGAAUUUUGAAACUGGAAAGAUCAGUUGAGAUCUACCUGUGGUUACAGCAAUAGGUGUUUAUACAAGGGUUUGUACAAUCUCAAGGCCAAGUAACAGAUUCACAACCUCAUUUUUAGCAGACUGUCUCUUUGAAUUCAGAUAAUUAGGACAGGUCAGCAGCCCAAUGCAGUUUGUAACUUAUACAUAUAAAUAUGCAUAAAUGUUUUUACAUAUAAUGUCCUUUGUUUCAAGUAGUCUUUUCUCCAUUUUGGAGGGGAAAGAAAGCUGGGUGUCCUGAAGAAGUUCUGCCUCUGAGAAAGAAGGUGAGAAAUCUUCUGGUCAACAGGACUUCGAACCACCAUUGUAGGAGGCGUCUCAUCAUCAAGCUGUGAAAAUAUAUCACUGAUACACUCUGGGAGGAAUUUAGCAAGCUCUUGGUUGCAUGUGGCAGUAUUUGGCUGGGUCAAUGAACUCCUCCACUGGGUUUCAGAAGAGAGUCAACAUGAGCCUUCCAUGCCACAACAAACUGAACUAUGGGAAGCUUCCAUCACAAGAGCCCAUCAUUUGAGAGUUGACACCUGAUAUAAGAGUGACUGACUGAAUUCUUCCCUAUGUGCUCUUCUCUUCCCCCCCCCCCCAGCUCUGGGGCUCAGGUACCUCACUUGGCUGCCUUUUCCACUGCUCCUGAAAUGCCCUGAUCCCUCUGCCUGCCCAUGGAGCACAGCAUCAGGGAUCCUUUCCUCUCCUCCUUUGCUGCUGCAAAGAGCUGGGUUUGAACUCUCCUGGUUGUUACUGGAAAGGGGAAUGCUAUUUAUUUUUUUAUUGUGUAUAUUUUGUCUUGGUCUACUGAUUCCCUAAGAGCGACAGUUACCUCAAUAGUUAGUUCAAUGUUGUGUGUAUGAGUAAUUUUUUUAAGGAUCCUUUUUUUAAAAAAAAGUUUGAUCCUUGGAGAGCUGUAGAUUUUAUUU